rnacentral:rRNA from 1 species
GACGUAGGGCGCGAGCGUUGUCCGGAUUUAUUGGGCGUAAAGAGCUCGUAGGCGGCUUGUCGCGUCGACUGUGAAAACUCGGGGCUCAACUCCGAGCUUGCAGUUGAUACGGGCAGGCUAGAGUUCGGUAGGGGAGACUGGAAUUCCUGGUGUAGCGGUGAAAUGCGCAGAUAUCAGGAGGAACACCGGUGGCGAAGGCGGGUCUCUGGGCCGAUACUGACGCUGAGGAGCGAAAGCGUGGGGAGCGAACAGG